AGUCGCCACACCUCCCUACAGUCCGUGGCCACACCUCAGUACAGGCGGUGGUGGAGCAGCCAGGUGUACUCUCCCAGCCGCGAACUGACGUGAUGGCGAGUUUUGGCGACAUGAUGGCGGGUAGAGGAGUUUCAUGGCCAGUGAUGCUCUUCUUGGUAACCUCCCUCUUGGCAUCACCAGCACAGUCCAUCAAGGCAGCAGCCAUAGAGGAUCACCGGGGUGGGUCGUGUCACCAGGUACAAGACUCCAACGCCUGGCCUCACCCUCACAAUGCCACUCUCUGCGCUCUAGUGCGACCUGAGCUCCAACAACCAAAACAACCAGCCACCGUCCUUCAGUACCACAACCUCGGGGCCUAUAUCAUUGCUGGCUUUAGUUACAUGAGGUUGUGGGUAGCGGCUGACGGAUUCAGGACCUCAUUCAACGCUUCCUUCAUCCCGGAGUUCUGGAACCCCUUGUGUUUUGGUGCUACGCCUAACCAAA